AGCACCGAAGCCUGUAGCUAUUUGGCUGCUAGGCAAUGUGGUGUUGAGAUUGAUUUUUGGCAUUUCUGCUUCAUCCUAAGUCCAUUAAUGAGUACGGCUAAUGGACCGGCCCAAAGAGGGUGAAAGGCCCGUGUGGAUGAAGAUCAAGUGGGACAGAAGUGCUUUGAAUUGAUCUUGGAGUCGGGUUGUUUGUGAAUGCAGCCCAAAGUGGGUGGUAGACUCCAUCCAAGGCUAAAUACUGGCACGAAUCCGAUAGCAAACAAGUACCGUGAGGGAAAGUUGAAAAGUACUUUGAAGAGAGAGUAAACAGUGCGUGAAACCGCUCAGAGGUAAACGGGUGGAGUUGAACUGGAAUCCUUGGGAAUUUAACUGAUGAGUGUAGUUUGUGCUUGGGCAUAUUGGCCAGCAUUCGGGGUUUGCUCAAUUGCAGGCCUUGGCUCUUUGGAGCUUGGGUGCACGAGUCACUUAUCAUGUGUUGUGUGCCUCGGAUGUGUAUUGGGCUUGCUUGUCAGUGCAUUUUCUCAGGGUGAUCACCACGACCGGCGUGGUUGCCUGUCUGCUACGGUUAAACCGAUCAGAUUUAGUUAUGUUGACUGGAUUUGGUCGGGACGGCAGGUAGCUUGUUGGCUUUCAAGCUGGCAAGUGUUAUUAGCUGACCGUAAUAGGUUUGUGCAAUAUGUCGGAGAUAACGGCUUUAUUCACGCUGACUGGCAGAAAUAGUGUUGGGUUUGAUUGGCAGUAUACUUGUCUAUUGCAGGUCUGUCAGUAGCUCAAUGGUGUUUGUCAGCAGUUUGUGUGUAUAACGUGAUUUGAGCCUACAGUCUGUGGUGUAGUGGUAGACUAUCCACCCGACCCGUCUUGAAACACGGACCAAGGAGUGUAACAUGUGCGCGAGUCGUUGGGCGUUACGAAACCCAAAGGCGCAGUGAAAGUAAAGGUUCGACUUGUGUCGGACUGAGGUGAGAUCCUGUUGUACUCAUUUAAUAUUAUCAAGCAUUGAUGCAAUGGGCGCAUCACCAGCCCGUCUCAUGGUGUAGUCAUGGAGCUUUGCUUUGUGCGUCAUCGGGGCGGAGCUAGAGCGUACAUGUUGUGACCCGAAAGAUGGUGAACUAUGCUUGCGCAGGUUGAAGCCAGAGGAAACUCUGGUGGAGGACCGCAGCGAUUCUGACGUGCAAAUCGAUCGUCAAACGUGAGUAUAGGGGCGAAAGACUAAUCGAACCAUCUAGUAGCUGGUUCCCUCCGAAGUUUCCCUCAGGAUAGCUGGCAUUCGGAGUAUUAUUAAACAGUUUUAUCCGGUAAAGCGAAUGAUUAGAGGUAUUGGGGAUAAAACAUCCUCAACCUAUUCUCAAACUAUAAAUGGGUGAGAAGCUUUGCUCGUUUGACUAGAGUGAAGCGUUGAAUGUGAGUGCCAAGUGGGCCAUUUUUGGUAAGCAGAACUGGCGCUGUGGGAUGAACCAAACGCUUGGUUAAGGUGCCUAACACGACGCUCAUGAGAUACCACAAAAGGUGUUGGUUGGUAUAG
rnacentral:rRNA from 1 species